UCCGGCCAAGAACAACGAAUCAAACCCUGGUUCUUCCUUGGCGUGCCACUUCCGAGUGCGAGUUUGUUUCUCCACAGCGAACCCCUCUGCCCUACCUCUGCCUUAGCACUAGCUGCACCUCCGAUACAGAGUAGCAGUUGCCCUAUUUCUGCAGCUCUCAAUUCAGCAGUAAACGAUCGGCAACAAUCAACGGUUGUGAUUUGAGGACUUUGACGCGAGACGAGUAGCUCGAUG